CCGGGCAGCCCGCCCACCAGUAGCUCCGAAUAAACCAGCCGCUCGGCCACUUCAGCUGGGCUCGGAGAUGGGUUUUUUUCACUCUCGGCACCUGUCUGGCUCCUUCUGGAAACCUGUGUCCAUUUUUGCCAUGACAGAUACCAACUGGGGCUUCUCUAUCCCCCAGCUCCCAGGAAAACGGCUUGUCCCACCUCCACGCCACCCCCAGUUCCACAGUCUCUGGACGCCCCAGCCCUUUCCCAGUGCCCACCAGGUCCCAGGACUCCGCGUCUCACACCCUCUGCCGGCUGCGGGCACCUGCUUCCCACAUGGCUGCCCCGACAGCCCAGGUCAACUUUGCAUCAAUACUCAGCCCCUAAGUUCCAUGAAAACCUUGUUCUCACAACACAGCAGUGAGCAGAGCAGGAGGCACGGAGGAGCUCAGGUGGGAGGAGAGGAGACUUACCUUGUCUCUGUGACAGACACACCUUGGAAGCACAUCACUGCUCCCAAAAUGGCCUUUGGCCCCUCCGUCCUGGCCAUAAGGCCACACGGGCUCACCUGGCCCCGUCCUUUGUCAUCUCCGCACUCUCUCUCUCUCCUUGUCCUCCUCACCACCUCUCUUCUCCAGAAACAACAGCAGAGCCCUCCCUUUCUCAGGGAAGCAAGGCCCCUCCUGGGGCUGCAUUAGACACCUGCAAGCAAGUGUCAUUUCUUGCUUCUUCCCCAAGCAACAGUCACAGAAGUCUUCAGACGAGAAACUUCUCUCCCUCAACGGAACUCUGGGGCCAGUGGUUAAAAUAAUAAACUUUUUCCCACCAUGUGAUGUAACAGUCACAAGCACAUUUCUGGCCAACCCAAACCAAAUAUGAUUAUACCAAGGUCCUUCCCGCAAGGAAGUCCACGUGGCAGGCACAAGGUGUCACAGAGAAGGCCACACGGGUACAGAGUGCCACUGGUGAGGCAUCAAUACUCAGCCCCUAACAAAGGUGAGGCUGGAACAAGAGCCCCAGACUCCGGCGGAUGGACAACAGGGAGGGAUGGGGACUGUGGCACACCAGAGAGCCGUGUUCCAUCCAGAGGCAGCAGGCAGGGAGGUCCUCGCAGGCAGAACUGUAUUUCCAUUAUUCGUAUGUAUUAACUGAGUCAUAUUUAAGGGUAGACUAGACUCCAUCCCAUUGUGUCUGUACUAAAAUUUUAUUCGUUCAUCUCUUAUUGCUAAACAUUUAGGUUUAAGUGGAAACUGCAAUUACAAUUGUGUACAGCAGUUAUAAACCGCUGUCCAGUUUUCCCCUUUACUAGCAUUUUUGAACCAAUAUUAGAAUUCCAAUCAACAUUCUAAUCAAAACCUCUUGAUGAAGGUCAUUUCUAUGCCACCCCUUGUCUGGGACAUUUAGGUUCUUUCCAAGCUCCCUCACCCCAAAUAAAUGCAUUGUGGUUGAAA